rnacentral:lncRNA from 1 species
GGGCACUGGCUGGGCUGUGGAAGACGCAAAGGACAAGAUCUCCAAGCUCCUUGAGGAGUACAACACCGGCGGGGACCUGAAGGAAGCCUGCCAGUGUAUCCGUGACCUUGGGAUGCCCUUCUUCAACCAUGAAGUGGUGAAGAAAGCGCUGGUGAUGGCGAUGGAGAAGCAGAAUGAAGCUAGCAUCUUGGCUCUCUUGCAGGAGUGCUCCGGGGAGGGGCUGAUAACCAUCAACCAGAUGACCAACGGUUUUGCUCGUGUCAAGGAAGGCCUCGACGAUCUGACCCUUGACAUCCCAAACGCGCAGGAGAAGUUCAGAGGCUACGUGGAGCUUGCGACAGAGCGCGGCUGGCUGCUACCUUCCUUCGCCUCCCUGCCCUGAGCUCUUCCC